GCGGUAGCUCAGUGGUAGAGCCUCUGCUUGGUAUGCAGAAAGCCCCGGGUUCAAUACCCAGUAUCUCCU
rnacentral:tRNA from 1 species